rnacentral:tRNA from 1 species
UCGGCGGUCUUCCACGCGUGGAUCGGCGAUCCCGCCCUUCUGGCGGGCGGCGGAGCGGGGCCGAUCGCGGUGGCCAUCGCCUGU